ensembl:lncRNA
CACUAGGCUACGCUGCCACCCCUACACUCUAACCACUAGGCUACCUGCCGCCCCACCACUCUAACCACUAGGCUACCUGCCGCCCCUCCACUCUAACCACUAGGCUACCUGCCUGUCCCUACACUCUAACCACUAGGCUACCUGCCGCCCCUACACUCUAACCACUAGACUACUUGCCGCCCCUACACUCUAACCACUAGGCUACCCUGCCGCCCCUACAUUCUAACCACUAGGCUACCUGCCUGUCCCUACACUCUAACCACUAGGCUACCCUGCCGCCCCUCCACUCUAACCACUAGGCUACGUGCCUGUGCCUACACUCUAACCACUAGGCUACGCUGCCGCCCCUACACUCUAACCACUAGGCUACCUGCCGCCACUCCACUCUAACCACUAGGCUACCUGCCUGUCCCUACCCUCUAACCACUAGGCUACCUGCCGCCCCUAC